GAAGCGGGCCAGACCGCCGCCGGUGCAUCAGCGGAAACGCCGCACGGGAGGAAGGUCCGGACUGCACAAGGCAGCGUAGCAGCUAACGGCUGUCCACCGCGAGGUGAGGAUUAGAGCAACAGAGACGAGUCGGUGCGGGGCGAAAGCCUGCGGCGGGUGUUCUGUGCGGUGCCGGCGACAGCCGGCAGCCCGGGAGGCGAAAGCCGAGCGGGCCCGGGCGAAAGCCCGGUGCCGCAUAGCCACUCGGCGUGGGACGCAGUCCCGCGGCGGGUGAAACGGGCAAUCUCUACGCGCAGCAACACCGAAUAGGCCGGCGAUGAUGUCGCCUGCGGAGCCGGCGGGUAGGUGGCACCGAGCCGUGGAGCGAUCCACGGCCAAGAGGAAUGGCGGUCACGCCGCGUCCCGCAAGGGAGGCGGUGCACAGAAUCCGGCCUAUCGGCCCACUUCACAC
rnacentral:RNase_P_RNA from 1 species